CCUACGGGAGGCAGCAGUGGGGGAUAUUGCACAAUGGGGGAAACCCUGAUGCAGUGACGCCGCGUGGGCGAAGAAGUAUUUCGGUAUGUAAAGCCCUAUCAGCAGGGAAGAAGAAAUGACGGUACCUGAGUAAGAAGCACCGGCUAAAUACGUGCCAGCAGCCGCGGUAAUACGUAUGGUGCAAGCGUUAUCCGGAUUUACUGGGUGUAAAGGGCGUGCAGCCGGAGAGGCAAGUCAGAUGUGAAAUCCGCGGGCUCAACUCGCGAACUGCAUUUGAAACUGCUUCCCUUGAGUAUCGGAGAGGUAAUCGGAAUUCCUAGUGUAGCGGUGAAAUGCGUAGAUAUUAGGAAGAACACCAGUGGCGAAGGCGGAUUACUGGACGACAACUGACGGUGAGGCGCGAAAGCGUGGGGAGCAAACAGGAUUAGAUACCCCAGUAGUC
rnacentral:rRNA from 1 species